GGAAUUUUCCGCAAUGGGCGAAAGCCUGACGGAGCAAUGCCGCGUGGAGGAUGAAGGCCUGUGGGUUGUAAUCUCCUUUUCUCAGAGAAGAAGUUCUGACGGUAUCUGAGGAAUAAGCAUCGGCUAACUCCGUGCCAGCAGCCGCGGUAAUACGGAGGAUGCAAGCGUUAUCCGGAAUCAUUGGGCGUAAAGCGUCUGUAGGUGGCUUGGUAAGUCGACUGUUAAAUCGUAGAGCUCAACUCUAUAUCGGCAGUCGAAACUACUUCGCUUGAGUGUGGUAGGGGCAGAGGGAAUUCCCGGUGUAGCGGUGAAAUGCGUAGAUAUCGGGAAGAACACCAACGGCGAAAGCACUCUGCUGGGCCAACACUGACACUGAGAGACGAAAGCUAGGGUAGCCAAUGGGAUUAGAUACCCCUGUAGUC
rnacentral:rRNA from 1 species